rnacentral:snRNA from 1 species
GUGCUCCCUUUGGCAGCACAUAUGCUAAAACUGGAACGAUACAGAGAUUAGCUUGCCCCUGUGGAAAGAUGCCACAAAAAUGUGUGAAGCGUCCCAUAUAAAA